GAUGAACGCUAGCUACAGGCUUAACACAUGCAAGUCGCAGGACUGGCGCACGGGUGAGAAACGCGUAUAAAACCUUCCCAUGACCACGGGAUAACCCGUUGAAAGACGGACUAAUACCGUAUGGGGAUGGAUGGGGAUGCGUCUGAUUAGCUUGUUGGCGGGGGAACGGCCCACCAAGGCGACGAUCAGUAGGGGUGCGGAUGGGAAGGUCCCCCACAUGGGAACGGAGACACGGUCCAAACUCCUACGGGAGGAAGGAGUGAGGAGUAUAGGUCAAUGGGCUGGAGCCUGAACCAGCCAAGUAGCGUGCAGGAUGCCGGCCUAUGGGUUGUAAACUGCUUUUAUGCGGGGAUAGGUACCGCAUGAAUAAGGACCGGCUAAUUCCGUGCCAGCAGCCGCGGUAAUAC
rnacentral:rRNA from 1 species